AUUGAACGCUGGCGGCAGGCCUAACACAUGCAAGUCGAACGGUAACAGGAAGAAGCUUGCUUCUUUGCUGACGAGUGGCGGCCGGGUGAGUAAUGUCCGGGAAACUGCCUGAUGGAGGGGGAUAACUACUGGAAACGGUAGCUAAUACCGCAUAACGUCGCAAGACCAAAGAGGGGGACCUUCUGGCCUCUUGCCAUCGGAUGUGCCCAGAUGGGAUUAGCUAGUAGGUGGGGUAACGGCUCACCUAGGCGACGAUCCCUAGCUGGUCUGAGAGGAUGACCAGCCACACUGGAACUGAGACACGGUCCAGACUCCUACGGGAGGCAGCAGUGGGGAAUAUUGCACAAUGGGCGCAAGCCUGAUGCAGCCAUGCCGCGUGUAUGAAGAAGGCCUUCGGGUUGUAAAGUACUUUCAGCGGGGAGGAAGAGAGGAAGGUUAAUACCUUGGCGCAUUGACGUUACCCGCAGAAGAAGCACCGGCUAACUCCGUG
rnacentral:rRNA from 1 species